GGGGAGAGUAAAGCCUCAUUUUUUUUUCAGUCACUCUAUCUGGGGUUGCUUAUCUCCUCUCCCCCAACCCUCUGCCUCACCCCACCAGGACCAAAUAGAAUUGAAACUUCAUUGCCUUUGCCUGUACUGAGCCUAAAAACUCAGGGUUUGAUAAGGUUACUGCACCAAUGAUACAAUUGUAGAUUUUUAAAAGCCUCCUCAAAGAGACAGAUGUUUGGGCUGAUUAAGAAUUGAGGAGGAAACCUGCAGCUGCACCAAGGAAUAAUCUAUUGGACAAAUAUUGUAAUAAAAAAAUAUGAAGAGAUCAGCCCGACCUUGCAAGGGGAUUGCAGUGGCAAAGCUAGGCUAGGUCUUGGAGGCUGGUGUAAGGCGAUGUGGGUGAAGGCAGGAGGCUGAUGGAAAGACUGGGGGGAAGAAAAGCCGAAAUGGAUUCACGGUGCCUUGGAUGAAGGACGAGAGGGGAACUGCAAGCUCCUUCAACUGGUUCUGUCCGGUGAGAAGUGAUCAAGCUUGGGCUGACAAGAGGCUCAGGGAGCCCUCACGUUCUUUCGCUUUUUUACCUGCCAAUCAAACUGCUACAAGACAACACCCUGAUCUGGCAUGGACAUCGCGGGUCCAAGCCUGUAGCCCCAAAUCGGAUAAUCUCUGCAGCUGAUAACAAGCAAAAGAGAAGCCAGGCAACAGCCAUAUUAAAGAAGAAAACAAUCAACUCUGAGAUCCAACUUAGAAAUAAUGUUUCAUUCAAGAUAAGGCUCGUGGCUUAGGAGAUUGUGACCUGGCUUGCAUCAUUCUAAGACUUCUAUCGUCUGUUUUCAAAACCCAAGGAGGACCUCCUUUUCUGUGUGAUAGUUCCUCAUGCUUUGCCAGCCACUGGGUCUUUAAGGAAGCUUGCCAAGAGUUCCCGGCUGGGAAGGACAGUUCGAGUUCAUCAUAGACAAUGAGCUGGCACCACAGUUUAAGUGACUCACCAACCUGGUUGCCCACUUCAAAAUGUCAAGAACCACACUAUCUAAUUGAAAGAACUGUGUUUUAGCAAAGUGUAAUUGGAUCGCCUGGCAAGAUCAUCUCAAACUAUGUCUCUGACCUUGCCUUUCAGUGGCUAUUUUGAGCACAAGAGGAGAAAGGAAAUGAUUCCUGAAUUAUAUCUUGUUUUUAAAAAUUAAGAUUAAUUAAUACUUGGUUUUAUGUUCAUUCCAUUGUAGGAACUUAGUGAUUAUUACAAAACAGUCAAAAUAGGUCAUAGCAAAAUGAACGUUUAAGAUUAGGUUAAAACAUUCCUCUGAAAUUUUAGUAUUCACUUUUGAAGUGUCAAUUACUAUAUUUCUGUAAUUUCUCAUUUUUUUCUUGGCUUAGAGUCAAGAUGAAAAAUGAUAUUUGAAUCAAAGACAUUGUUUUGUUAUAUAGCCACUCCUUUCUAAAAUGCAAAUCCACCCUCCCCUCACCAAUGCUUUAUUCUUUGUGCGCGCACACACACACACACACACACACACACACACACACACACACAGACAUACACAGAACCAGCACCCAAAUGGUAGAGGAGGUCCUUCCAAGACUUCUAGGACCUGGAUCAUGUAAGCAGUAGAUGAGAAAAUGAAGUAAGAGAUAUAGAGUAAUAACAAUAAAAGUCAAUGAUUUCAUUUUACAAAAAAGUCAUUGUGUAGUACUCAGAUAUUUUUAAGAGCAAGUAUUAUUAUGACUAAAGUAUAUUAUACUUCUAAAUUAUUAUGAUUCUCAUCUAAUUUCAAGCCACACAUAGGCGCCAUUUGAAAGCAUUUUGUGUUACAACCUAUCAACAAAAAUCAACUAAUAGUUUUAUAACGUGCAUAGGUUUACCCCAUGGGGAAUUAAAAUUUUUAUCUGCAAGUAUUUCUGUUGUUGUGAGACUUUAGGACAAGACAACAUUUGGUGUUAACAUAGAAGAAUAUUCUAUGGCUUUUUUAGCUUUAAAGUUCAUUACUCUAAAAUAAAGUACACGUGGUAUUUUUUUCUUCCUAGUGUUCUCUUAUUA
rnacentral:lncRNA from 1 species